rnacentral:rRNA from 1 species
CUAAGGUAGCAUAAUCAUUUGUUAUUUAAUUGGUAGCUAGAAUGAAAGGUUAAACUAGUUUAUUAGGUUUGUUAAAUUAUAUAGAAGUUUAAAGUUAAGGUAAGAAUUCUUUAAUUUUCUAGGGGACGAUAAGACCCUAGAAGCUUAACAAGAGGGGUAGUUAGUGUUAGAAAUUUAUUUGUUUUACUGGGGCGGUAAAGGUAAAUAAGCUAUUUGUUAUUUAGAUGAUCCUAAAAAUAUAGAUAAAAUGAGGAAGUUACUCUAGGGAUAA